rnacentral:rRNA from 1 species
UACGGAGGGUGCAAACGUUGCUCGGAAUCAUUGGGCGUAAAGCGCACGUAGGCGGUCUGUUAAGUCGGAUGUGAAAGCCCCGGGCUCAACCCGGGAAGUGCAUACGAAACUGGCGGACUUGAAUAUGGAAGAGGGUCGCGGAAUUCCCGGUGUAGAGGUGAAAUUCGUAGAUAUCGGGAGGAACACCAGUGGCGAAGGCGGCGACCUGGACGGACAUUGACGCUGAGACGCGAAAGCGUGGGGAGCAAACAGG